rnacentral:rRNA from 1 species
UACGUAGGGUGCAAGCGUUAUCCGGAUUCACUGGGUUUAAAGGGUGCGUAGGCGGGCUUGUAAGUCAGUGGUGAAAGCCCGGAGCUUAACUCCGGAACUGCCAUUGAUACUGCAAGUCUUGAGUACACUUGAGGUGGGCGGAAUACAUCAUGUAGUGGUGAAAUACUUAGAUAUGAUGUAGAACACCGAUUGCGAAGGCAGCUCACUAAAUUGUAACUGACGCUGAGGCACGAAAGCGUGGGGAUCAAACAGG